rnacentral:rRNA from 1 species
AGGUCAAGCUACACAGGGCACGGGGUGGAUGCCUUGGCGCCAAGAGCCGAUGAAGGACGUGGCAGGCGACGAAACGUCUCGGGGAGUUGCAUGCAAGCUGUGAUCCGGGAGUGUCCGAAUGGGGAAACCCGGCCAGGGUAAUGCCUGGUCACUCGGGGCUGAAUAGAAUAGGCCCCGGUGAGGUAAGUCCGCGAACUGAAACAUCUCAGUAGCGGGAGGAAAAGAGAACAUUCCCUGAGUAGUGGCGAGCGAAACGGGAAUAGCCCAAACCUGCUCAGCGCGAUAGGUUGCAGCCGUUUCUGAGCGGGGGUUGUAGGAGCUGACACGGGACCCUGCAAGGUCUCAGUAGAGUCACAAAGUCGAUCGCGAGCCGAACCCGUCAGGAAAGGCGGGCCAGAGAGGGUGACAGCCCCGUACGCGAAGUGAUCGGCCUCUACGUCAGCCACCUGAGUACCACGUGGAAGGUCUCUCAUGUGGGAACCUGGGCGGACCACCGUCCAAGGCUAAAUACUCUUGGCGACCGAUAGUGAACUAGUACCGUGAGGGAAAGGUGAAAAGCACCCCGGGAGGGGAGUGAAAUAGUACCUGAAACCGCGUGCCCACAAGCAGUCAAAGGGUGUUGCCGACCUCCGGGUCGGUAGCCUGAUGGCGUGCCUUUUGAAGAAUGAGCCGACGAGUUACUUGUGUGUGGCGAGGUUAAGUCCGAGAAGGACGGAGCCGAAGCGAAAGCGAGUCUGAAUAGGGCGAUCAGUCGCACGCAGUAGACCCGAAACCGGGUGACCUACCCAUGGCCAGGUUGAAGCGAGAGUAAUGUCUCGUGGAGGACCGAACCCACUAGCGUUGAAAAGCUAGGGGAUGAGCUGUGGAUAGCGGUGAAAUGCCAAUCGAACCCGGAGAUAGCUGGUUCUCCCCGAAAUAGCUUUAGGGCUAGCCUCGAGCGUUCAAUCAUGGGGGUAGAGCACUGAAUGGGCUAGGGGGCUUCCCGCUUACCAAACCCAAUCAAACUCCGAAUCCCAUGAUUUCAGAGCUCGGGAGUCAGACUGCGAGGGCUAAGCUUCGUGGUCAAAAGGAAAACAGUCCAGACCGUCAGCUAAGGUCCCCAAAUCCAAGCUAAGUGGUAAAGGAUGUGGAGUCGCAUAGACAACCAGGAUGUUGGCUUAGAAGCAGCCACCAUUGAAAGAGUGCGUAACAGCUCACUGGUCAAGUGAUUCCGCGCCGAAGAUCCAACGGGGCUCAAGCUUGGUACCGAAGCUACGGGUCCUUCAGCCGGUUCGCCGGCUGUCGGACGGUAGGGGAGCGUCCCGUUCGCAGUGAAGGUCGAUCGUAAGGACGGCUGGAGCGUACGGGAGUGCGAAUGUCGGCAUGAGUAGCGCAAUGUGGGUGAGAAACCCACACGCCGUAAGCCUAAGGUUUCCUGAG